rnacentral:misc_RNA from 1 species
CGGUCGGGUUUCUGGUUUGCUGUGUCUGUGCACAUACAGCUGCCGCCCAUCGGGUUCGAAAUGAUACAAAAGCCGCUGGCAUAACAUACUUCGGGUUCUUUAUUAUCUUCUCACGCUCUGCAGCCUCUUCUUUGGACAACCUAUCGAUCUCCGAUGUGUAAUAUUCAAUAGAGUCAACCUUGUCACCGCAAAGUCCAAGGAAACCAGUCUUCGAAGUUGGCCUUUUAGAUGAAUUGCGUUCAUAUUUCAGUUGAUAAUAG